rnacentral:rRNA from 1 species
CCCUAAGAGUUCGGGCCGCACGCGCGCUACACUGAUGAAGUCAGCGAGUUUAUAACCUUGGCCGGAAGGUCUGGGUAAACUUUUGAAACUUCAUCGUGCUGGGGAUAGAGCAUUGUAAUUAUUGCUCUUCAACGAGGAAUUCCUAGUAAGCGCAAGUCAUCAGCUUGCGUUGAUUACGUCCCUGCCCUUUGUACACACCGCCCGUCGCUACUACCGAUUGAAUGGUUAUAGUGAGCAUAUGGGAUCAGCAGAUUUAGACUGGCAACAGUUUUUGCCUGCAGAGAACUAUGGCAAACUAGGCUAUUUAGAGGAAGUAAAAGUCGUAACAAGGUUUCCGUAGGUGAACCUGCGGAAGGAUCAUUAAAUAAUUUGAUAAUUAUACAAUUAUCUAAUUUACUGUGAACUGUUUUAUUCAUGACGCUAUGGGGAUGACUGCAUGCCAUAAGGGUAGGUAUGCAGAAUGUUAACCUAGUCAUAGUCAGGCUUGAUGCUUGGUACCCUAUUAUUAUUUACCAAAAGAAUUCAGUUUAAUAAACGUAACAUAGAUCUAAACAAUCUAUAAAACAACUUUUAACAACGGAUCUCUUGGUUCUCGCAUCGAUGAAGAACGUAGCAAAGUGCGAUAACUAGUGUGAAUUGCAUAUUCAGUGAAUCAUCGAGUCUUUGAACGCAACUUGCACUCAUUGGUAUUCCAAUGAGUACCCUGUUUCAGUAUCAAAAAAUUACCCUUAUUCAAAUAUUUUGUUUUGAAUAGAGUUGAGUGUAGUAAGCGUAUAGCUUAAGACACUUUUAAUGGACUAUGGCUGGAGCUUUUUCCCUGCCUAUAUUUUUUUUAAUUUAAAAAAAAAAAAACCGUAAAAUGGUAGUAAGGGGCCCCCAAAAAACUUUUUUAACUUGAUCUGAAACGGGGGGAUUACCCCUGAACUUAACCUUUCAUAAGCGGGGGAAAAAAAAUAACAUGGUUUUCCUUUACGG